GCAAAUGGCAUGUUUUUUCGAUGAAAAAAAAAAAUGUUCUACCGAUUUUUCGUUCAACAUAUUUUCACAAAAAGUUGCGGAGGUGCUGCGGAGGAGUUGCCUCCGUCGCAGAUACGGUCGUGGCGGACGUCUAUAAUCAGGACGUCUUUGUUUUUAUAUUGAGAAAAUGCAUGUGUAAUCCUUAAGCUAGAAAGUUGUACAUUGCGAAUCUCGUGGAUGAAACAAACGGUUUAUUCUUCUGCGUACAUAUUCAUAAUUUGUUUGUUUUUCCUGAUUUCUGGAGGAUUCGACUCAUUCAACUUUAACAGUUGAGGCACGUCCACCGCGCCUUCAUAUAGAUUUUAAAAAAUGUAUUUACGUUUUUUUUUUACUUUAACUUAUUCAACUUUGACAGCUCUUUGAGUUUGGUGGGGCAGCAUUUCUGGUCAAAAGACCAGUCCAACGCCUUCCUCUUCGAGGAGGACGUGCGGCAGCUGGCCGUCGGCUGGACCCACAAUGCGGCGCUGCUCCGCAACAACGAGAUCCUCAUGUGGGGCCGCAACUGCUACGGACAGCUGGGCACGGGCUCGAUCAGCGAGCAGCAGGCGGUGCCCCAGCCACUGAGCCUCCGACUGCCCGACGGCCAGACGCCUGCUCACGUGCACAUGGGGGCAGAGCACGGCCUGCUGCGGACUACAGCCGGCGAGAUCUACACCUGGGGCUGGAACGAGCACGGAAACUGUGGCAACAACAGUACAGAGAAUGUAUGCAGCGCGUGAAGUUGGCCGGAGCUGGCUCGGGCUUCUGUUACGCCAUUUCCGAGUCGUCUGUUAAUUAAUUUUAUAAUAAAUGUUAAAAAUGCUUAAAAAUACUAAACGGAAUAUCGAAAUUAAG